UAUUUAUAUAGUAAUAAAUGUUCAUAAUAUACAGAUAAGCGCUAAAAUUAUUCAUGUGAACUUUUGAUACUUUUUCUGAAAUUCUCCAGUCAUUAAAUCUUUUACAAAAUUCAUUCAUUACAUAAAAAAAAAGAAGAUGUGGUAUGAUUACCAUGUUAAGACAACUCUCCACAAGAGACUAAAAUGACACAGAUAUUAACAACUAUAGGUCACCGUACGGCCUUCAACAAAGAGCAAAGCCCUACCGCAUACUCAGCUUCAAAAGGCCCGAAAUGACAAUGUAAAACAAUGCAAACGAGAAAACUAGCGGCCUUAUUUAUGUACAAAAAAUGAACGAAAAACAAAUAUGUAACACAUAAACAAACGACAACCACUGAGUUACAGGC
rnacentral:lncRNA from 1 species